rnacentral:rRNA from 1 species
AUUGAACGCUGGCGGCAGGCUUAACACAUGCAAGUCGAGCGGGGUGAUGGUGCUUGCACUAUCACUUAGCGGCGGACGGGUGAGUAAUGCUUAGGAAUCUGCCUAUUAGUGGGGGACAACAUCUCGAAAGGGAUGCUAAUACCGCAUACGUCCUACGGGAGAAAGCAGGGGAUCACUUGUGACCUUGCGCUAAUAGAUGAGCCUAAGUCGGAUUAGCUAGUUGGUGGGGUAAAGGCCUACCAAGGCGACGAUCUGUAGCGGGUCUGAGAGGAUGAUCCGCAACACUGGGACUGAGACACGGCCCAGACUCCUGCGGGAGGGAGCAGUGGGGAAUAUUGGACAAUGGGGGGAACCCUGAUCCAGCCAUGCCGCGUGUGUGAAGAAGGCCUUAUGGUUGUAAAGCACUUUAAGCGAGGAGGAGGCUCUUUUGGUUAAUACCCAAGAUGAGUGGACGUUACUCGCAGAAUAAGCACCGGCUAACUCUGUGCCAGCCGCCGCCGUAACAC